rnacentral:rRNA from 1 species
CCUACGGGUGGCAGCAGGGAGGAAUAUUGGUCAAUGGACGCAAGUCUGAACCAGCCAUGCCGCGUGCAGGAAGACGGCUCUAUGAGUUGUAAACUGCUUUUGUACGAGGGUAAACGCAGAUACGCGUAUCUGUCUGAAAGUAUCGUACGAAUAAGGAUCGGCUAACUCCGUGCCAGCCGCAGCGGUAAUACGGAGGAUGCAAGCGUUAUCCGGAUUUAUUGGGUUUAAAGGGUGCGUAGGCGGUCGGAUAAGUUAGAUGUGAAAUCCCGAGGCUCAACUUCGGAAUUGCCUCUGAUACUGUUCGGCUAGAGAGUAGUUGCGGUAGGCGGAAGGUAUGGUGUAGCGGUGAAAUGCUUAGAGAUCAUACAGAACACCGAUUGCGAAGGCAGCUUACCAAGCUACUUCUGACGUUGAGGCACGAAAGCGUGGGGAGCAAACAGGAUUAGAUACCCCGGUAGUC